UACAGAGGUCUCAAGCGUUUGUUCGGAUUCAUUGGGCGUAAAGGGUGCGUAGGUGGCGCCGUAAGUCGGGGUGUGAAAUUUCGAGGCUUAACCUCGAAACUGCAUUCGAUACUGCGGUGCUUGAGGACUGGAGAGGAGACUGGAAUUCAUGGUGUAGCAGUGAAAUGCGUAGAGAUCAUGAGGAAGACCAGUGGCAAGGCGGGUCUCUGGGGCCAU
rnacentral:rRNA from 1 species